UUAGACCAUUUUCCUGCACUGAAUGUAAGGUUUGUCAGCAGAAUGGAACUGAACCUUGGAUAUCAUCUGUGAGUUUGUUGGUGUAUGAAAAAGGCCUGGCAGGUUAUUUCUUAAGUGAGAGGAGGAAGUCUUGGCCUCUACUUCUGCUGCUCCAGAACAAAAAUAUUCAGCUGAUACCUACGGCUAGCUGCUACACCAAGAGCUGAAAAAGUCGUUGAUGCAGACUGAUACGGAAGUGACUCUUUACAUGCAGAAGGUCAUUUAUCUCAAACCUGAACUGCACAAGCUAAGGUCUAUUCAGGACGAGAUCUUCCUGCCAGGAAAUGGGAGAAACUGAAGCUGCUUCACCAGUGCCAUUUCCAUACUGCGUUUGAUCUCAGGAAAAGGUCUGCAUUGAUGAAUUAGUGCAACAACACUACCAGCCAUAAAAGAAUACAUCUAAUGAGAAAAUCCAGCGGUGACUUCUAGGCUGGAUUGGUCAUCCCUCACCCACAGUGUUACCUCGAGAACUCCCAUGUGCUCACCACAGCACUGAAGCAAAACCGGGCCUGGAUUCUGAAGAAAAGAGCCAGAACAAGGUGCUAGAUCUCCUUCCAUAAGUUUCCCAACAGAGAUUUACCUGGCCAGAGUUAGAUGGCUGCUCUUCAAGGAGAAUGCCCUUCCCAUCCCACCAAAUGCUCUUGACACUUCACCCUGCUUGUACCUACUUGUUUCCGCCUGCGACUGGAACCAAUGUGAAACCUCAGGAUCUGGUCUCCUCGCUGUAAGAUGAAAAAGCACAGGCUGUAUGAGGCAAAAAUAAGAGGUAGAGAUGGACAUCAGGUGAUUCCUGGUGAUUUUCAGACCUGUAAGUUCUAUUACACCAUCUAGUUACCCGCCUCCUGUAAGAAGCAAUGCGUGAUAGUGGGCCAGCACUUUUAAAUGGUUCCAGAAUACUAUUUCCCUCCCCAAUUCUGUUUUUCUGACAUCAGACUGUACCUGAGUGUUGGUUCAUUGGUUCUGUCCCUCACAGUGGCACCCAAAGGUCCCUUUCCAAUGGGCAACUUAGUUCUCCCUUGCCCUUUGCUUCCUAAAUCAAGAAUUAAUAAAGAAGAGAAGAAUGUGGCAACACCAUUUUAGAUGUGCUGCCAGCACAUCUGAAAUGGGCUGGUUGUAUUGUCAGAAAAAACAUCGAUAGCUGAAAAGCACUGCAGAGAAAUUAAAUACAUGGGAGGAUUGUGAGCAAUACAAGAGAGACAUGCUGCUAUUGAUAAGUCAAAAACACUGUUUGUUUGUUCCCCAGCACUCUCAGUAUUAAAAGAGUCAUUUGCAACGUCUCAGCUUGCUGUUGUGUAUUCCUGGUACCUGACCUUCUCAGUCUGGCUGUUGUGCAUCUGUUAGCCUGUGACCUUCCCACUGCAUGGAUCAGAUAUUGAGAAGGCAGGGGAGAAGGAAGAGCAGAGGAAGGCAGUGAGAGACAAGCAAGGCAUCUCAGACCGUCCAGUGGUUUGUGGUGUUCAGGACAAACCAUGAAUGCCUACUUAAGCAAGGGGGAGGAACAGGACACAACGUGAUACACUGACAGUAAAAUUAUCGCUCUGAUCCCAGCGAGAAACCAGGCAGGGGUCCUGAGCCUGUUCAUCUGGUUAAACAGGUACACGUGCAGAAACUGUGACAGCAACAGAUGACCUCAGCCUACAACAUGGGCAAUGGAAGGUCAUCCCUGCACCUCUCUGCAGAGCUGACGGAGACCCACCUUUUGUGCUGCCCCCAGAGAGCUGACACCCAGCCUGGAAGUGACAGGUUACCAUGCCUGCCAUGCCGCUGCUUCAGUUGCACAGAUAAAAUAUGCUCUUCUCAGACACGGAAGCUAUUACUUCUCUGCGAUGAAACAGCAUCCCACACUCUUAUUAACCUGUGCCCUACUUCAGAAGCAAAUUUAAUUUGCAGCUUUCAUAGUUAGGUAGCGCUAGCAUUGGUUUGUUCCUGUGCCUGCUCUGAGUUUGCUGGAUCUGUACAGUCCCAAGUAUGGCUGAGCCCUAUUUACUGUGGCCUAUAAGCAUUAUUCCUCAGAAAAAGAAAAAAAAAAGGAAAAAAAAAAAAGAAAAAAGAAAAAAAAGAAUAAGGCAUUGGGGUGGUUGAAGCUUUUUGUUUCACUGGAGAAAAGUCAAGGCACAAGUGUUAAAAAUGUCCCUGCAAAAAUGACUUCUGUAUCAGCAGAGAGUGAUGUUCUGUCUGCUAAAUGAAGUUUGUCAUCUGGGAUAUUCCUACACAUCUGGUCACUUUACACAGAGCAUUUCAAGAACCAUGCUGUAUGGGAGAGAAAAGAGAGUUUCAAAGGAUUCUCUGGAUUUCUGAUGGCAAGCAUCACACAAAAAAGGGUAUGGUUUCACAAAUACACCAAGUAAUAGGGAAAGGGAAGUAAGAGUCUUCAGUGAUGGCCACCACAAAAGCAGCACAUACAGUAAUUUAUGUGGUAGAUUUACACGUAGAUCAUUACCGAACGAGCAACUCAAAAAGCAAAGGACACCCAUUUUUUUAACCAAUGUUUAAUAUUUUAAUUUAUAGUUCACACAGUUUGUUGACUUCUUUUAAGGAAAUGAAUGUAACCACUAAAAACACGAAGAUAUGUGGAGCGUGAAUGGCUUUUCACUGUCUUAUUGUGGGGAAAAAAAAAGGAUAAGACUAUGCAAUUUCAGUUCCUCUGGGGAUUCAGCUCUGUCGCUGCCCAAUUGCAAGACUCCUGUUCACAUCGGUUAUUUUGGUAACCCCUUGUACUUGCAUGGCUGGUGACUUGCAGCUUGGUGGAAGUCAGUUUGUGAACAGAUUAAUAUCUGGAUUGCUGCAGUAACACUUUUCAGCUUGCCAUGUGAAGAUGACAUAAGCACUACACACACUUCUUUGCCUGCCUAGGAUGUUUCGGUGAUGUGGUAGUCUUUUUGUGGACUGUUUCUCCCAUCCUUUGAGCCGGCUGGAAGAUAAACUUUGGUCAAUAUGUUACACUAUGCCCUUUGUAAUGAAAUAACAUCAGAUAAUAUGUGUUUAGUGGGGAUUUAAAUUCCUGAGCUGAUUAUGAGGAGCUGUUAAGACGU